rnacentral:rRNA from 1 species
AUUACCGCGGCUGCUGGCACGAAGUUAGCCGGGGCUUCCUUUGCAGGUACAUUCAACCGCCUCCGAAGAGACUAUUUAUUCCCUGCUGACAGUGGUUUACACACCGAAAUGCUUCAUCCCACACAUGGCGUUGCUGCGUCAGAGUUUCCUCCAUUGCGCAAAAUUCCCUACUGCUGCCUCCCGUAGGAGU